rnacentral:rRNA from 1 species
CGCGAAGAACCUUACCAACUCUUGACAUCCCAUUGACCGCUUGAGAGAUCAAGUUUUCCCUUCGGGGACAAUGGUGACAGGUGGUGCAUGGUUGUCGUCAGCUCGUGUCGUGAGAUGUUGGGUUAAGUCCCGCAACGAGCGCAACCCCUAUCCUUAGUUGCCAGCAUUCAGUUGGGCACUCUAGGGAGACUGCCGGUGACAAACCGGAGGAAGGUGGGGAUGACGUCAAAUCAUCAUGCCCCUUAUGAGUUGGGCUACACACGUGCUACAAUGGACGGUACAAAGGGCAGCGAGACCGCGAGGUGGAGCCAAUCCCAUAAAGCCGUUCCCAGUUCGGAUUGCAGGCUGCAACUCGCCUGCAUGAAGUCGGAAUCGCUAGUAAUCGCAGGUCAGCAUACUGCGGUGAAUACGUUCCCGGGUCUUGUACACACCGCCCGUCACACCANCGAGAGUUUGCAACACCCGAAGCCGGUGAGUAACCNACAAGGAGCCAGCCGUCGAAGUGGUAGUNUUGG